UACGGAGGGUGCAAGCGUUACCCGGAAUCACUGGGCGUAAAGCGUCUGUAGGCGGCGCAACAAGUCAGAGAUGAAAGCCUCCGGCCUAACCGGGGAAUUGUUUCUGAAACUGUUGUGCUAGAGGGGGGAAGAGGUAAGUAGAAUUCGGUGUGUAGGGGUAAAAUCCGUUGAUCCACCGAGGAAUACCAAAAGCGAAGGCAGCUUACUGGUCCUUCCCUGACGCUGAGAGACGAAAGCGUGGGUAGCGAACGGG
rnacentral:misc_RNA from 1 species